AAACAUCCGCCUGCGCACGCUUUACGCCCAGUAAUUCCGAUUAACGCUCGCACCCUACGUAUUACCGCGGCUGCUGGCACGUAGUUAGCCGGUGCUUCUUAGUCCGGUACCAUCAUCCACACAGGGUAUUAACCCGUGCGAUUUUUUCCCGGCCGAAAGAGCUUUACAACCCGAAGGCCUUCAUCACUCACGCGGAAUGGCUGGAUCAGGCUUUCGCCCAUUGUCCAAAAUUCCCCACUGCUGCCUCCCGUAGGAGUCUGGACCGUGUCUCAGUUCCAGUGUGGCGGAUCAUCCUCUCAGACCCGCUACAGAUCGUCGCCUUGGUAGGCCUUUACCCCACCAACUAGCUAAUCUGACAUCGGCCGCUCCAAUCGCGCAAGGUCUUGCGAUCCCCUGCUUUCUCCCGUAGGUCGUAUGCGGUAUUAGCGUAACUUUCGCUACGUUAUCCCCCACGGCUGGGUACGUUCCGAUGCAUUACUCACCCGUUCGCCACUCG
rnacentral:rRNA from 1 species